rnacentral:rRNA from 1 species
UACGUAGGCAGCAAGCGUUGUUCGGAAUUACUGGGCGUAAAGAGUGUGUAGGCGGUGCUCCAAGUCUGGUGUGAAAUCUCCCGGCUCAACUGGGAGGGUGCGCUAGAAACUGGAAUGCUAGAGGAUGGGAGAGGUAAGCGGAAUUCCUGGUGUAGCGGUGAAAUGCGUAGAUAUCAGGAGGAACACCUGUGGUGUAGACAGCUUACUGGACCAUUUCUGACGCUGAGACACGAAAGCGUGGGUAGCAAACAGG